GACGAACGCUGGCGGCGUGCCUAAUACAUGCAAGUCGAGCGGAGUUUUUAAAAGCUUGCUUUUAAAAACUCAGCGGCGGACGGGUGAGUAACACGUGGGCAACCUGCCCUGUAGACUGGGAUAACUUCGGGAAACCGAAGCUAAUACCGGAUAAUCAUAGAAGUUGCAUAGCUUCUAUGUAAAAGUUGGGUUUACCUAACACUACAGGAUGGGCCCGCGUCGCAUUAGCUAGUUGGUAAGGUAACGGCUUACCAAGGCGACGAUGCGUAGCCGACCUGAGAGGGUGAUCGGCCACACUGGGACUGAGACACGGCCCAGACUCCUACGGGAGGCAGCAGUAGGGAAUCUUCCGCAAUGGACGAAAGUCUGACGGAGCAACGCCGCGUGAGCGAUGAAGGCCUUCGGGUCGUAAAGCUCUGU
rnacentral:rRNA from 1 species